GAUUAGUGUCAUCAGACAUAGUUGUUUCCACGUGCUACAUCUUCACCGUUUGACGUUGGCAUCAUCAUCCCAUCGGUUCAUCAUUUUGUGCCAUUUCUCCAUUCACCGCUUCAUCUGCUUUUUCACCGACCUGUUCUCUGUCUCUCUUCUUCUCAUCUGUCUUCUGCCACUCCUCCCCCUAAACUUCGUUGAUAUCCAAUCUUUCUGUCUUCCUUCCUAAUUUCUCCUUCUACCUUUCUUCAGUUUACCACCACUACUAUUGCUCCAUUAUGCGUUCUGCCCCCUCUUUCUAUGAUGCAACUCACCACCCCCAUGACCAUCGCCACCCUAUACGCCGUCGACCGCCACGAAAACCAUCUUCUCCACCUCUUUCUUUGUCUCCUUUUGGUUUGUCUGUAAAUCGUUCUUUUUUGGAGGGAUUAGGAUUACCAAUAUCUAGGUAAUUUCCCAUCGCUUCCGUCUUCAAUUAGGAGUCGACGGUAAUGAUCAGGAAAGGGGAGAAGGACAGUCCUCGGUCUUCCGUUAGGGAUGUAGGAAGGAUUGGGUAGGAACAAAAUCGAUUAUUGUCCAAAUUCUUCCUUCUUCCUUUCACAGCAAUUGGAAGCAUUUAGAAUUAUCCAUUUUCCUAUUCCUUUUGGAAGAUAACGAGGUAUGGUCAAAGAAAUCGAUGUUCUUAUGCGAAAAUCCUAACUUAUAUAUAUCGCAUGACACCUGUUUGAUAAAAAGCCCUCAACGAAUAAAUGGUGUGACAUAGUUCAACUCUUUCCUUCCCACGAUUAGAUUUUGCUUAGAAAAAUAAUUGCAACUUCCAAGGUAGUUUCAAUAGUUCUAAAUCACGGAGUUCGAAUUUAGAAUUGAAAUAAUCGAUUUAGGUUAAGGGACUAUUCGGAUCCAAUUUCAUAUGAGUGGAUGUAUUAUUGAUUACUAUAGGAGAAACAACUUGAUAUAAAUCGCGAGCUCCAAGUGCAAACUAUCAUAAAAUCUUUGUUUUUGACAAUUCGUUUGAUCUAACUUCUCAACUUCCUAAAUAUUGGUUUUCAGAUUGCGUAUGUUGAUGCACUCAUCUCUUUUCAUGUAUAUCUGUGUAAAUUUUGCAUAUAUUUCAUUCUUGGACUUACUUACCAAUUUGUUGUUUUAUGUGAUGCAAGGUAGGCAAGACAUCGUCGAUGAAUCAAUAUCCUGUAUAACUUAGAUUUGUUAAGGUUUAUUCCUUUUCACCAUUUACCUCUAUUCUCCCUUUAGUCUUUGGGUGUAACAAUCAAAUAGGAUCCACAAUCACAUCUUUCAUGUCUCUAAAACUCCAACAAGUUGAAAAUUUAGAAUACAUGAAGCUCAUGUGAUAUGUGGCAUGCAAGAAGGUAUUUUCAAAUGUGCUUUAAAUUUGAUUAUUGCAACUUGAAGUAUUGUAAUCUAACAAUUAUAUAAUCAGUUAAUUUUUUAUAAAGAUAGUUGGGUAACUUUACAUUUACAUCAAUCUUAUAUGAUCAAUGAAGAUCACCCAAGCCAGUGUUGGGGAUUAUUAUUGUGUGCCCUUAAUGUUUAACUUUAGAUAUGUGAACAAGAAGUUUAGCAAUCAAUACAAGGCAACAAUAGGAGCUGAUUUCUUGACAAAAGAAGUUGAAUUUGAGGAUAGGUUCUUCAUUCUACGGUGAUUGUUCUAGAUCUGGGAUACAGCUGGACAGGAAAGAUUUCAGACCCUUGGAGUUGCUUUUUAUCGUGGUGCAGAUUGUUGUGUUCUUGUGUAUGAUGUGAAUGUUCAGAAGUCAUUUGAUGAUCUCAACAACUGGAGGGAGGAAUUCCUUAUUCAGGCGAGCUCUUCAGAUCCUUAAAAUUUCCCGUUUGUAGUUCUUGGAAACAAAGUUGAUGUGGAUGGUGGCAACAGCAGAGUGGUUUCAGAGAAAAAGGCACGGGCUUGGUGUGCCUCAAAAGGAAACAUUCCAUAUUUUGAUCCAGUUGUAAGUGAGCCGACCCGACCCUAUUGUAUUUUAUUUUAAAGGGUAAAAAAAAACAUAUCUAUGCAAUAAAGAUGUACUUUUUCCCUUUUUGGCUUCAUAAUCAAUAACGGUUACAUCUUUUUCAUUAAUGCCAGAUCAAUACUUGGACAGAAUGGUAAUUUCACCCGAUACGAUAUUAGUUCAUUUUUUUAUUCUUAUUGCAAAUUUAUUGGUUGAUUUAAUUUAUAAA